ensembl:lncRNA
UGUUGCCCAAGCAGCCCUAAGGAUAUUGGGAGGUCCUUUUUUGGAGGAACAUCAUUUGUUUUGCCUUUUAGAAAAUCUUUGGAUGAAUUAUCUAUACAGUGGAAUAGUAUUCAGUCAUCAAAAGGUGUGAAGUAAUGAUGCAUGCUACAACGUGGAUGAAUGUUGAAAACAUUAAAUGAAAGAAGCCAGACACAAAAGGCCACAUACUGUAUAGUUCUGUUUAUGUGGAAUGUCCGGAAUGGGCAAGUCCAUAAGAUAGAAAUUGGUGGCCAAGGGACAAAGAAAAGGAGGAGUGACCCCUGAUGGAUAUGUAUUUUUCUUGGAGGGGAAGGUGAUGAAAAUACUCAGAAAUGAGGUGGUCAUGAUGGUUAUACAACUUUGUGAGUUUUGUGAGUAUGCUAAAACCACCAGAUUGGAUAGGAUUUUUUUUUUUUUUUAAGAAGGUUUAAUCUUCAUUUAUCUCUUUACUUUAUGUCUUAGGUCAGGCUACGCAUGGUGUGCAGCAUCUAGUUCUCUGACCAGGGCGGGAGCCCACGCCCCCCGCGCUGGGAGUGGAGUCUUAACCACUGGUCUGCCGGGGAAGUUCCGAAUUGGGCAGUUUAAAGGGCCCUGGCUCUGGAGGAUGCUGAAGGAGGAAGACACAGAAGCAGGACGACCCUGAGAGAUUAAGCCUCUUAAUCGUGCAACAGGUAGCUUCUCUGACAUUCUGGGUGUUUGAACACUCGUUUCUUUGAUCCUUGUGUUGUGGAAAAUGCCCCACGGAGGGGAGGUCAGCUGCGCUGGGCCUGGACGCCCAUGUGCAUGUGUGCAUUCCAGGCAGAUUCUUUACCUUCUGCGCCACUAGGGAAGCCCCCUCAGGGGUGGAUAUCCAGGUGCAAAUGGAAAACACCUGAUUGACCAAGAGAUGCGCUCUUAAUAUAUUCUCACUUGGAAUAUAUUAAAAGGGAUGUUUCUACUUUAGAACUCAAAUAGAGCUUUUUGUUGAUUCGAGUGAGUGAAACUUUGCAUUAUUGGGUCAGCUACAUGGAACCGGUCGUUGGCUGUGGGGGCUGGAAGGAGCCCAGAAACCCUCCAGUCAAACUUUACCCUUUCUAGAGUUGAAAAGACACAGGCAGAUCAAGUGACUUGCUCACGGCUACUCAUUAGUUCAUGAAAGUGUUUCUUGAAAGUCCAUUAUAUUUUCUCAAGAAAAACAACACAAAACCACUGGAAACAGGGCAAAGCAACAUCUGAGCAAGUGCUAGGAAAAAGCUGUGGAUGAGUGCUUGUUUCCCGUUUCUCAGUUUGGAUUCUUUGGGGUUGUGAAUGUCAUAAAAUGGAACUCAAAGGGGCUCCCACAGCACAGGGAAUUAAAUUAAGUGACUUGUACCAGUAAAAUGCAGAGAUGGGAUGGACUAUAGGGUACAUGUGUGAUAGCUCAACUUGUCAUCAGCAGUCCAGUUUCUUCCCUUCGCUCAGCUGCUUUUCCAUGGUGUCAGUGCAUCCUAGGGCUUGCUUUUCUCCUGGAGGCAAAAUGGCCACAGAAGUUUCUGAGCUUAUUGUUGCAUACCCCUCCAGCCAGAAGGAAAGAAGCAUCCUUUCCAGUAACUCUUUAAAAGACUGAGAAAGUAUUUUUUUCCAGAAGUCCCUCCCCAGAAAGCCAAUCCUGGCAUUUCAUUGGCCUGAACUGAGUCAUAUGUUCAUUCCUUAGCCAAUCACAGUGGCUAGGUGAACACCCCCUGUUGAUUGACAGGGACGGGAGCUAUUUCCUAAUUGGCUUAUCCCUACACUGGGUGAUAUGUCAUCUUCCCUCAGAGCACCUGGGUUGGGGAAAACAGAGGUCUGGAUACUGUUGUGGGAGGAGGGAAAUGGGAGAAAUGACAAAUGGUAUUUAUUAU